rnacentral:lncRNA from 1 species
CCUGGGCUAAAAUCUGCUUUAUUGUUUUGUGCUGAAGUCUGUCUUCCUUCAUUUUCACUCUCUCUCUCUAACUUGUGUUUUGUCAGGCCUUGCGGACUGAACAGGCCAGACAGGAGCUCAUUAACCAGGGCAGAGUGUCAGCGGCCAAGACCCUGGAGAGAAUCAGAGGUCGCCAGGUGUCUCAGCGUCUGGCGGAGGAGGCCUAGAAGAGAGAGCGAUUUGAAGAGCUGACAGCAGCUGGAGCUCGACCAGGAGUGGCUUAGUGCUACGAGACGGAAGGAGCAGGAAGAUGAUUUCAGCUACGCUCGAGAGCUAAGAGAAAGAGAGCAGAGGCCGCAGACCCUCGAGGAGCAGCUGGAGCGCAGGGCACGGUGGACAGCAUACAGUAUCAAACAGAAAAAGAACGAUUGAGGCUGUAGCAGAGCAAUCACCGCCCACAGUAAGUUAUUUCCCAUUCAUAUUUUCCGCAGGCAUUUGAGUACACAGCAUACGGUGAUAUGGACAGACACAGAGGAGACUGUG